GCCGGCGUGGGCAAGAGGCGAGCUGCUGGACUCGUAAUCCAGAGAUCGCGGGUUCGAUUCCCGCCGCCGGCCCCA
rnacentral:tRNA from 1 species